UACGGAGGGUGCAAGCAUUAAUCGGAUUUAUUGGGCGUAAAGGGCGCGUAGGCGGAUCAGCAAGUCAGAUGUGAAAUCCCGGGGCUCAACCCCGGAACAGCAUUUGAAACUACAGGUCUAGAGGGUAGGCGGAGAAAACAGAAUUCCACAAGUAGCGGUGAAAUGCGUAGAUAUGUGGAAGAAUACCGGUGGCGAAGGCGGUUUUCUAGCUUAUUCCUGACGCUAAAGCGCGAAAGCAAGGGGAUCAAACAGG
rnacentral:rRNA from 1 species